UUUUAUCUUAUUUUUUAAAAUUAUAAUUAUGUAUUUUAAAUUUUAAAAUCCAAAAUUUGGAUACACAAAAGUUGUGGAAUUUGCAGUAAAUAAUCGCAACAAAGAUAGAACAGUAGAAUACAUAUUACUUAGAAUGGGAAAGCAACGGCCAUCUAACAAUUGCCCCUUUUUAUUAAAGUCCAAAUACAUUCAUAAUAAUACUUAAUAACAUUGCAGCAUCUCCAAGGAAAGGUAAGCAUCAAGUUGUAGUGGGUAUUUGAUUAUUUAGUUGGUAGCAAGGUAAGCAUCAAGUCCCAAUGAGAGCUUAGAAACAAAGUCCAGGUAAGCUUCCGGGGUAGGGAUGUUCUCGUCUGCCUUCUCGAACUCGAUCGUCCACUUCACGGUGGCGCUGCCGCUUUCUCCAUUGGGGGAGGCUUGGAACUUGGCUCUGAAAAAGUUGUAGUGGCUUAGUAUAUCUCCUUCAACAGCUUCGUAUGUGAUUGACUUGUUUUGUUCAUCCACAUCAUCCACUUUUGCCUUCACUUUUGCAGGGCCAACUGCAUCAAAAAUUACAACUCUUUUAACUUUAUUACCCAUUGUUUUAGCUAUCAAUCUUUCUUGAUUUGUUUUAACUAUUUGAUUUACUUCCACCCAUUUGUUUCUUUUUUCUUUUAUUAUAUACACACACCCACACACCCACACAAUUUUUUCUGAACUUCUUAAAAGCAGACGCCCUUUUCAAAUAAAUAACUAAUCUCGUUUUAUUUUUCUAAAUUAUCAAACUAGCUCUAUGAAAAAGAAUUUCUUUGUUUUUGAAAAUUGACUACGAAAUUAAAUGUUUAUACUAAAAUAGAUGAAGAUCAUAGCAAAAUUAAAAACGAAAAAAGAAAUAAUAAAUUAAAUAAUUAUUAACUUCCAUGUUUAGGGUCAAGUCAGAUAUAUAAGAUAUAACGAUAGCUAGUUUUGGUGUAAGAAAGUAUUAGAUAAUGUGGUUGACCGUCAAACAACUCUUGUAUUCUUUUUUUAUUAUUAUCUUGAGUUCAACUGCGAAUUUAAAAAAAGUUUAGAACAAUAGAGCAUAUGUGUUAUGAUAUGUGUUAUGGUGGGAGUAAGAACAUGAGCGGAUCUAUUAGGGGCUAGGGGCACGUGACCCUUACAUUAUCGGUUUUUGUAUUUUAAUAUUAAUUUUGAAGUGUUAAAUUACAAUAUAUCUUAAACAAUGUUUUAUUUUUACUAUAUUUUACCUUUUGGACGGUGGUUGUGCCCUCUUUAAAACCCCAAGGUAUUAGGUUCCCCUACAUAUGAUUUCUGGAUACACCACUGAGUAAGAGUAAGAAGCAAAUUAACUUGUAGGGUUUAGGGUUUAUAAAAGAGAACUAAAGUCAUCUAUGUUGUAUAAGCUCAUAAUUAUAUAGAUUAUCUUUUUAUUUGCAAAAUAAACGGAAAAAUAAACCCUAGUUCAAUGUUGGGACAGUUGGGAUUUGAAGCAGUAAUAUAUUGGUCGAGAAUGUAUAUUACAUUGAUUUGAUAAAUUUAAUGUGAAGUUUUGAAAUGAAGAAAGAAAGAAAGAAAGAAAGAAAGAAAGAAAGAAAGAAAGAAAGAAAGAAAGAAUAUGGCUUACCAAUAUCAUAAGACCACUGCAUGAGAGCGCCGGUAGUAAAGUCAUUUCCUUCAAGGAAUUCACAAGCAUGAAGGUUUUUGGGAAACAUUUGGGCCAAUUGGAACAUAUUUUUCCUAAAAAAACCAUAGAACUUCUCAGCACCACAUUUAAUUUGAACAUCAGCAGACACUUGGGAAAUUUGAGCCAUUUUUAUUUUAUUCUUAUAUGCAGAAAGAAAACAACUGAAAAAUAUUAUGAUUCUAGGAUGACUACCCCAAUGGAGGUUUUUAUAGUUGUUAUUGUGAUUCUUAUUAUUAUUUUUUUAUUGCAACUUGACUUUGCGACCACUCCAAAAAUUCUGCAUCCUUUAGUAUCUUCUUUCUUUCUUUCUUUCUUUCUUUCUUUGUUGUCUGUGACCUAACAAUUUGGAAUCUCUCAUAUGCUUUCACUCUUGACGUACACAAAUCUUUUAUCUUACUUUUUUUUCUUUCGGAUAAAGGAUAAAUUAACUUUUGGAGGUUGUGUCAAUUUCAUCAUCUUUCCUUAAGUUUCAAAUUACUUGGACAAUUAAAUCCCAUGUUCAUAAAAUGCUAAUCAACUAGGAGAAUAAAUACUGUGAUUAAUUAAAUUUCACUGUCUUUCAUCUCUAAAUUCAUUAUAUUAAUUCAUAGAAAUUAACAUAAAAAAAACAUUUGUCAGCUUAAUUUCCUAAUUUCAUUUUAUAAGUGAAAUUUAAUUCCCUACCCUUUAAUUGUGUAAUACAUACAUAUACAAACAUAGACACACACAUACAUCUAUACAUACAUGCAUAUAUCUAUAUAUCUACACGUGCACACAUACACAUGCACACACAGAAUUAAGAACGUUCAAUUUCCUACCCACCAGAUAUAAAUUUUGUUAUAGAUUUUAGAUGUCUAAUUCAUUUUAUCUCUUAUAACUUUCGACAAAAUCUAGAACUUACAUUUAACAUGCUUUUCUAUAACACUUAUGUAAACAUACCUUUCAUGAAUUAUUAUCACAUUUAAUAGUAGUACUCAUGAAAUUCUACACACAUAUAUAUACAUUAUAACACUAAUAACACACUUUCAAUUCAUAUGAACAUCCUAAUCCUGUGGUGGGGUUUGAAAUCUAUAUGAUAGACUCUAUGAACAAAAAAAGAUUUAAUUUAAUUAAAACAUACAUUCACAAAUUAAUGCAUAAUUAAUUAAUUAAGCAUACUAAAAUUGGACCAGUUUUGACAUAUCCUUAGACAAGCUUAACACAAUAAAUUAUUACAAUAAUAGUUCAUAAACCACCUCAAAUCGGACUCAAACACUUCAAACCAGCCAAAAAAAAAAAAAAAAUUCUAAAAACUCGAACCAACCUCCAAUAUAAACUCUAAAUCUAAUGUUUCUUGAGAAUUUCUAAGUUCAAAAGGUAACCCAAAGUUUAGUAUGAAGUUGUUGGGUUGGGUUGGUUGCUUGUUGAAGAAAGUAUGAAGGAUUGCCUUUAAGUAUUGGAGGCUUAAGAGGUUGGUGGCUAAGUGAAGAGAAGAAAGGGUUUUAGGGGUUUUGACAUGUUAGGUGGCAAAAGGAUGUCUUAAGAACCUCUAAUGGCAUGUCCUAGAUGGCCAAAGUGUCUAGGCACCAAACAAGCCUUUGUGAGCUUAGGAUGAGGCCUUGUAAAGUGUCUGAAGCGCUAUGCGAGUUGAGAACCUCCAUGUGCCAAAUCUAGGUAUUAUGACAAGCCAAGUGAAGUGCACGUGUGAUGAUCCAUGCGACCAAGAGCAAGGGGCUUUAUGAGAAGCUAGGGGGCAUGACCUUGUUAAAAGGUUAUGUGAGAUGAGUAAGGAAGCUAGGAAUUUUGGAAGACCCUUAGGCAUUCAAGGGAGGUCGGUGGAGUGGAAAACAAGUGUCCACAACAUGAAAAGUCACAAAAAUGGCGAGCAGAAGGUGUCACUCUCAACCAUGCAAAGAUCUUUAUAAGCAUGUCAAUUUCAUAAGAAGAAUGCUCUCAAACUACACAUGCUUUUCUCCCAUUUUUGUCUCAAAAGAAGCCUAAAGGAGUGUACUUUGUGAGGUAGGGCUUUGAUAACUUGUAAAAAUACUAGUUAUUAUAACAUUUUAGGUAGAAUAAUGGGACUAAAACACAUGGUAAAGUGUGCGAAAACACGUAACUUAUGUUGUAUAUACAUAAUUAUUUAGAAACACAUUUUACAUAAUCUUCAUGUCUGCUUUACCCCAUUUAUAGUGUCUAAAUGCAGGAUUAUUAACAAAAGAUAAGGUGGCAAAUGCAAAGAAACUUUCGCACAAAGACAAGACGAAAAGACCAAAUCACCACGCGAGAAGAGGUUUGCUAGAAGACAAAAGUGACAAUUAGAGUGAUGUGACUUGACGAAAAGGACAACUUUCGGUGCAAAUAUGGUCAAAAUGAUAGAUUUUCUGUCAAAAGAGGCCUAUAUAAAAAGCUCCAUCACCACCGAGAAAAUGAGGCAUGUAUGGGUCAUAAAGGCUAGAAAUCUACAUAGACCGGCUAACCUAGAGAGUUGGUGGCAAGGAUUAGCCUUACCACCAUCUGUGAAGUACAUCUUCAUCUUCUCUGGUUAGCCUAUGGAGUGAACGCCUAUAGUCUGAGUGAAAAAGAUCGCAUCCUCAUCUUCCCCUAACUUGUAUUAUCUUUUCUUUUCUUUUCAUUUUUGUAUUUCUUUACAUUGUAUAUGCUCAUAUUGUACAGUGGCCGAAGGACUACAUUUUUUAAUACAAUGUAUAUUUAUACCUCUUUCAAUCUAUCAAUCUAUGUACUGUUCAUUUGUCUUUGUUUAAUUUGUAGUUUAAGUCUAUGAUUCAUUCUUGAUAAUAAACUUUAUUUAUAAUGCUUAUCGUGUUAGCCGAGCUAUUUCAUCACUUGGCUAGUAUAUGUCGCCAACUACCUGAGAGGGUAAGUAGUAAGGACGUUGCUAACACGCAAAAGGAAGAGUUUUCUCACCUUAAUGAGAUGACUUUCAUCAUUUUGUAUCCUGAAAGGUGAACAAGUAUGGACAAUAAGUGCCAAGAGGUUGUUAUCCUUAAAGUGUAUUGAGCUUAGCAACUUGAGCAACAAGAAAUGAAUCAGAAAAAUUCUCCAAGGGACGUUGUAGAUGAAAAGAACAUCAUAGUAGUCUAUGUGUGGGAAUGGUUUACAUUCUUAGCGAAAGGAAUAUGAAAGACUAAUGUAUGUUUAUGUUUUAUGAAUGAGGUGUUGAAGCUUGUUUAAUGAAAAUGAUUUAUGUAUUGCGUGCUCAAAAGGUUUUUCUAAAACCAUUACUCACUAAGUAUUUGACUUACGUAUUUAAUUUUCCUUUCUCAGGUUACAAGGCCUCAAGACCAAAUUAAAAAAGUAAGGCAAAUUGUGAUCGAGACAUUUAAGUUGAAAUUGUCCAAGGCAUUUAAAGCUUUAUAUUAUAGCUUAUGUAUUUAAGGAAGCAUGUAUCAUUUGGAUUGUAUAUUGUUAAGAGAAAUUAUUUUUAUUUUGUUGCUUUAUGUUAUUCUUAUCGUUUAGUAGCUAAGGGAGAUAAGUUGAAUAAGGUGAUAAAAUUAAACCAAGAUUCAAUGACUUAAGUUGAGCGUUCUGGCGUUUCGUCUUGAGGCACCAAGACUGCUCAAGUCGCAUUGCGGCCGCAUCGCGAGAUAAUAGAAAGGAUUUUUCGGGUUUGUGUUCUUUGUCAAGUUUAUUUGUUUGUUUACUUUGUUCGUUUUAUGAUUUUCUAUGUUUAAGCGUUUGGAGAGAUUAGAGAUUUCUUCUAUCAUGCCUGUUUGUAUAUAAAUGUAUGAUUUGAGCAUGCCUGUUUGUUUGAUGAAUAAUGAAUUGAGCUACAUACUUAUUAAGGAAAAUUGGUUUUAUUCCUUGAAUUAAAUCUAAUUUGUGUGAUGAGGUUUGUGGGAAGAUGGCUCACUGAGCAUAGUUUCUUCAGUCAAAUACAAUACAUAUAUAGUGUUAUUCAUGAGAUCUACUUUUUUUUCUCGAUAAUAUUUUAUUUAUGGUAAGAAAUUACAAAAGAAAGGAAAAGCCCAAGUAGAGAAAUUUCAAAAGAACUUUCCAACUAGAAAAAGAAGAGUGAAAAAGAUAUAACGGUGGAAUAAGGGGAACAUUUAUACCAUUUCCCAACCUUAUUAACUGUUGUAUAAAAAACUAUAUAAGAUACUUUUUAUGGAAAGGGUUUGACAUGGGUAGUGGAAUUAGGAACAAUUGUAUCCUAAAUGCAUCUAACUCAUUUAGAAAUUAACAUGCAACGUUACUCUAAUUAAAUGAAAUUGAGAUUAAUAGAAAAAUACGUUGGAAGCUUCUCAAUUCUCGUAAUCUCCUCAUGAACGGGAAUCUAAGAUCACUAUUAGUAUUGAUACCCUAUUCUUUGGACUUAGAACCGGGUUGUAGGACACAAUAAAUGAAGGAAUUAAGAAAGAGAGAUGGAAUUUAGAUUAGAGUUCGAAGAACUUUAGGUAAAUUUUUCACUUAUUUGUUUUCAAUUUCAAAAUUUUAAAAAUGCCAAAAGUUUUUGCAAUUUUGUAAACAAGCCUUUAAACAGAGAAAGGACACGCAACUAUUGCAUGUAAAAAUUAGCCUAGGUUCAACGCCUCACUUCCAUUAACCAUUAGUGAAAGUUAGUGGACUAGUUAUUUACAUCCCAUUUAGCCACAUAUUCCACCAUAUGUUAGUGAGAUUAUCCAACAAAGUGUUGUAUUUCUCAAUAACUUUAGUCAAAUGACCAUAUUCAAAGCCCAAUAUGAUCAUUUGACCAGUCAAAGUCAAAAGUCAACAUUUUGAAAUUUUACCAUUUUGUUCGUUUUGACUAAUUCUGAUCUCCCAAACACGAACUUCAUUUUUUUGAAAUUCAAAUUACAUUUGAAUCUAUAGUUGGUCAAAAUUCGACUGUUCAAAGUCAAAAGUCAACCUUUUUUCUUUUUUAAAUUUUGACUAUUUCCAUCAUAUUCAAGCUUUUGAACAUGAAUAUGAAUUCAUAAUUUUUAUAUUUAAAUCGCAUUUAAACACAAAAUUCUAUCUCAAAUUGAUAACCAACGAUUAUAGCACAUAUAUUUGUUUGUUUCUCUCUUUACCUAUUCGAACAAUUCAAAAUUUUCAUCAUACUCUUUUAAUUAGUUUAUUCCAUAUGAGCUAGUAGAGGAACUAAUGGACCUAUAGAUCAUGGGCUCCAACAAACCGAAAUUAGUGGCUAAAUUGUUCUAGAUCAAGCUAAUCAACAUUUGUUAACUAAUGGGUCAUUGCACUAAAGUCUCGUAGUUGCACUCACCUCAUUAUAGAUAUAUUUAUGACAAUUUUAUAUAACUAUGAUUAGUAAUUUAAUCAUUCACAGGUUGUUCAUAACCUCAGCUGGGUCAAAAUACCAUUUUACGCACGAUACUACAUCUUGCUCCUUAAGUCCCACUGAUCCACCUAUUGAACAACUGGUUUAAGGUGGACCUAUAAACUAAAUCUCUCUCAGGUGAGAGGGUGAGGUCUCUUGUUCUAGACUUGGAUCUAGUCCUUAAGGGAACAAACUAUCUACUGACCUUAAAGCAGGUAAUAGUGAAUUUUUUCUUGCACCCUAUGUCCCAAAGCUAUCUACCUAGUCUUACCCUCUAAUAUUGGAGGUUUAUUAGACAAACUUUGUUCAGCUGCCCUCAUCUAUGUAGAUCUAAGGAUAAUUUUGUGUGAAUAGAAGUUCAUAGUUAGCUUAGGAUUAAGAUGAAGUUACCAAAAUAAUCAAUAAUAAAAAAGUUUGUUCAUACGGUCAACAGUGUGAUAACGUAAAAGUGACUAUUUCAUGAUGCCAAUCUUAUGUAAACUCUUUACAUAGGAUUUUCUCACUUUUAUGUCUCCACAUGAAUGAUUCAAGAUCACAUCAUUUGUACUAACUACAGAACGACAUGCAACUAUAGUAUCGCAAAAUAAGACGCUUAAGCUAAUACAUAUAUAUACUCAUGGCUAACAUUUAUAAAUAGAAACAUAAUUUAUGGCCCAAUUUGAUUUUAGAUUAUCCAAUAUAAAAUAACCUUAGUUUAAUGUGGGGAUAAAUUGGGAUUUGAAGCACUAAUCUGUUGGUGGAGAAUGUAUAUUACAUUGGUUCAAUAAAUUUAAUAUAAAGUUCUGAAAUGAAAGAAAAAGAGAGAAUAUGGCUUACCAAUAUCAUAAGACCACUGUAUGAGAGCAACAGUUAUAAAGUCAUUUCCUUCAAGGAAUUCACAAGUAUGAAGGUAUCUUUUUGGGCCAAUGGGAACAUAUCUUUCCUAAAAAAGCCAUAGAAUUUCUCAGUACAACAUUUUAUCUGAACAUCAGCAGACAGAUGGGAAAUUUGAGCCAUUUUUAUUUUAGUUUUAUAUGAAGAAAUUAAAAACCAUAAUAAUGUUAUGAUUUUAGGAGAACUAGCCCAAUGAAGGUCUUCAUUGUCCUUGUUAUUAUUGCUGUUAUUUUGUUUUGUAGACAAUAUAUGUUGCAACUUGAUUUUGUGACCACUCCAAAAUUCGCAUCCUUUAGUAUCUUUUUUAUUUCUUUUGUCUCCAACCUAACAAUUUGCAAAUAUUCAUAUGCUUCUAUUCUUUUUAUCUUUUUUUUUUUUUUCAUUUGAAAAGUUUAGUUUUACAAGUUUGUGCCAUCCAUACUGAAGUUGAAAAGAAGUCAAAAAGACUUACCAGAAGAAUAGCAAAAUGGAAGCUAGGUUUACUUUGAAUAAAUCACAAUUUUUUAUUUAAAUUAAUAAAAUAGCAAAAUCAAAAAAUAUGAAAAAUAUUGUUGGAACAAUGCAUCAAAUGUCCGUGCUAAGUAAAAAAAUUGAAUCCUAAAUACAAUUAUUCAAGAAACCACAAAUACUCUAUAAUUAAAAUCAAACUCCCAACAUACAAUUAACACCUAUCACCAUCAAAGUUCCACAUAAUUUAUGUUGCUUUUUCAUAUCUUCUUCAAAUCGUGUGAGUUUACACUACAAGAAAUCAAAGGAAUUCUGACGCGACAUAGACAUCGGUGAAAAGGGACGUCGGAGUUGACCAACUAUCGCCGAUGUAACUUUCCUUGCGUCGGCGAACGGUAUCUUCCUCGACAUAUAAGAAGUAGACGUUGGAGAAAGUAUAAAUAUUAAUUUAAUAUUGAAACUUUCCCCGACGGAGGGCACAAGAACGUUGGGGAAAAGUGAAUUUAAAAUUAAUACGUCAACUUUUCUCAACAUGUGGUAGAGAGACAUCGAAAAAAGGUUAAACAUGAAAUUAAUUUUUAACGUUUCCUCGACGUCCCUCUGUCAUACGCCAGGGAAAGUUGACGUAUUGAAAUGACUAUUUUAACUUUCCCUGAUGUGUGGAAGUGUGACGUCGGAAAAAGGUUAAAUAAUUAAUAUAAAAUUUCACAUUUUCCCGACAUUAUUAGUAACAAUGUUGGGAAAAGCAGACUAAGACGUCGGAGAAAAUUGUCUCUAUUUGUUCCUCUACAACACAUAACAUAAUGCAAAAAAAAAAAAAAAAAAAAAAGAAGAAGAAGAGAAAGGAAAAUAGGUCAAGAGAGAGGGUUUAGGGUGGUUAUUUACUGAAUUGAAGGUUGAGGGAGAAGGUGUUUAUUGAACUUGAGAUUAUGGGGUGUUUAUUGAAUUCGAUAUCAAAUAUGAAUUUCACUUUCAAAUUGAAUUUGAAUUUUUGAAAAUGUUAAAUACCCAACCUAAAAAUGUUUACGUAUUUGGGAGGCGUCUUCAUACACCAUUGAAGUGAUCAGGGUGUUUAAAAUGUUAGAUAGUUAAUGGGAGAUUGGACAUAACUUAUUCAUAGAGUAAGUUUAAGUAGUUUGAGUAUUUGAGAGAAUAGGUAUAAAGCUAAUUCAACAUAUUUAUUUGUUGGGACUUUUAAGGAGAUGAAUAAGAGUUGGGUGAAACCUAGAGAUAGGCUUUUUGUUGAAUACAGAGAAGAAAUUUUUUAAUUUUUAGAGGUUGCAAAAGAUCACACAAAUAAUUGCAGAAAAAUAAGGUGUUCAUGCAAGAAAUGUACAAAUUCAAAUUGAGACUCAUUAGAGAGUGUGAAGCAACAUCUAUUAACCACUGAAAUAGCCUUCUCCUAUAUAAACUGGGUGUAUCAUGGAGAGUCCGUAAACUUGCACAGAGUGCAAAGAUUUGAUGAAGGAACAAGUAGUAGUAAUCUUUUUUUUUUUAUCAAAGAACUAGCAGUAACCUACUUACUAAAGAAAAUGAAAUGUUGGGUAUGUUGCAUGAUUUACAAGCUGACAUUGAACACAUAGAAGAAAUGGAUGAAGGUUUAGACAAUGAAACGUCAUUUAACAAUAGGGUAGAUUUAGAAGAAGACAGAACAAACAUGGUAUUUAAGAAGUUAUUAAAUCAAGCAAGUCGUGAGCUAUACCCCAGUUGUUCGGAAUUUUCGUCAUUGAACUUUUUGGUUAAGAUGAUGCAUGUGAAGGUUCUAAAUGAUUAGAGCAACAAGUCCUUUGAUAUGAUGUUAGAGUUAAUAAAACUUGUGUUUCCAAUGUGUACUACCCUCCCUAGUUCAUUCAAUGAAGCUAAACAAAAAUUGUGUGAUUUGGGCCUAGGGUACAAGACUAUUCAUGCUUGUAAGUAUGAUUGUGUAUUGUUCUGGAAGGAGUUUGAGGAUUUGAAAUAAUGUUCGACUUGUGAUGAGUCUUGAUAUAAGAUUAAUUCUAAUAAAUGAGGAAAGAAAAUUUCACAAAAAGUAUUGUGUUACAAAUUUCACAAAAAGUAUUGUGUUACUUUCCGAUAGUGCUAAGAUUACACCAAUUGUUUGUACUGCAGAAAGUUCAGCAGAUAUGCGAUGACAUAAGGAUAAACUAGCGAAAAUAGAGAAUGUGUUGAGACAUCCAAUCAAUGUAGAGGGAUGGAAGUACUUUGAUUCUGAAUUUUCUGAUUUUGCUUUAGAACCACGAAAUGUUCGUUUGGGGUUAGCUUCAGAUGGAUUCAAUUUUUUCGGUCAUAUGAGUAUCAUAUAAUAUGUGGCAUGUGGUGUUAAUUUUCUAUAAUUUUCCACCAUGGAAAUGCAUGAAAGAGUCAAGCUUCUUCAUGUCAAUUCUCAUUCCCGGUCCAAAAUCUCCUGGUAGAGAAAUUGAUGUGACCUACAACCAUUAAUUGAAGAACUAAAAAAUCUAUAGACGUUUGGUGUGCGUACAUAUGGUUGUCUGACGAAUCAAAUGUUUUCAGUUUUAUACAGUCUUGUUGUGGAUAAUUAAUGACUUUUCGGCAUAUGGUGAUCUAUCUGGUUGGAGUACAAAGGGGUAUCAGAUAUGUCCCAUUUGCAUGGGGGAUAGAUCAUCAUUCGAAAUACAAAAAAUUAGGCUACAUGAUGGAAAGGUAGAGUGUAAAUCACCUCUAGUGGUAAUGAAUGGUCAAGAAAUCUUAGAACAACUAAGAUUCGUUGGAGUUUCUAGUCAUGAGUAAGCAUCAUUCGUGAAAAUAUAGAAAAAAAGAGCUCUUAAUUGGACUAAAAAAAGUAUUUUUUCGAUCUUCCUUAUUAAUCGAAACUACUUAUUUAUCACAAACUUAAUGUAAUGCAGAUUGAAAAGAAUGUUUGUGACAACUUGGUUAGUACGUUGUUGAGUAUUGAAUAAAAAGAAAAGAUACCAUGAAUGUCCGAUUAGAUUUACAAGAUUUGAAGAUAAGAAAAGAUUUAUAUUUUGUAGAAGUGGGUAACCGAUUGGUGAAACCACGUGCGAGCUAUACGUUGACUAACAACGAGCAUGUUGAGUUCUGUAAGUUCUUGAAAGCAGUUAAGUUUUUCGAUGGAUUGGUUUCUAAUAUUUCACGAUGUGUGAAUGCAAAGGAGGGAAAAAUAUAAGGUCUCAAAACACACAAUUGUCAUGUUCCGCUACGCCGACUUCUUCCAAUCGAUGUUUGAGCAUUUUUUUCCAAAAUGUGUACACUGUAAUUACUGAAUUGUGCAGUUUUUUCUGUGAUUUGUGUGCGAGAACAUCAAGAAUAAGUGAUUUGACAGAUUACAGUCAAAUAUUAUAUAUUGUGCAAAUUGGAAAUAAUAUUUUCACCUACUUUUUUUAGCAUCAUAGUACACCUUGUAGUUCACUUGCCAAAUGAGACGAAGGUUACUGGUUCGGUUUCUUAUAGUUGGAUGUAUCCCAUUGAAAGAGGUCUUCACACACUAAAACAAUAUGUUCGUAACAAAGCACGUCGUGAAUGGUCUAUUGCAGAAGGAUAUCUUAUGAACGAAUCAAGUGCGUCAUGUCACGGACAACUUCAUAAACGAUGAAGAUGACGGACAAUUAUCAUCACAUUAAAGUGGGUCAAGCGAUGAUGAAUAACAAUAUUUUUUUACGUAUACACAUUAGUCAUUUUUCUAUACAUUAGUUACAUUCCGAUACUCACAUUUGUUUAAUGAUUGUUAAUUUUUAUGUCUACAGAAAUGAUGUGUAACUUUCUGAGCAGUGCUCAUGAGGCUGACUAUUUCCUUGAUUUAGACGCAUUAGAUAACUCGGGCGAUUUAUCUUCAGUGGGCGACACUUCAUGUUCGUAAUAACGAGCAUUUUCAAUAUAUCCCUCUCAACUGGAUUCCACUCCCACUACGAUGAGAGUACGAAAACUUCAUAAAACAUAGAUGUCGAGAGAUACAUACAGCAGAAUGGGAGAAUCCCCAUUUCAAUCCUCCCUAGAGGGGACAGAUUUGUAUCACCACACACCCCUCAUUUCAACUGCACGAUUGAUGUGUUGACGCGAGACACGUUUCCGAUUCAGGCCCUGAAGUGGAUAAAUAUACCACGAGAGUGCAUCGAGGUCGUCAAGGGCGGCCUGGUGGUAAGUCUGUAAAUUCAUAAUUACUUAUAUAUGUUUCAAUUAUCUACAUACAUAUGUAAAAGACUGACUUGAAACAUAUUUCUUUUGUAGCAAUUUUUCGUGUUCAAUCUAAAUGAUCCAACAAUUAAUCGGUUUGUUGAGCAUCAAAUGCUCACCUUGUGAAAAGAAUUCAUGAGAGAUAACCACUGACAUUUCAAGAAGUUUAGCCACCCUGAACAACCACGGGCAAACCCACCCCUGAGAUUGGUCAAUCGGGUGCAAGAUUGACACUUUCUCUGUGACCACUACAUCACUCGACCGUUUCUUGUGAUUUAUAUAGUUUUACGUUGAAAUCAAUUAAUAUUUAUUUAGUUUGAAAGUAUAACAUUUUGAUCAUUGUCAUUUUUGGAAUGUAGGAGCAAUCAAAUAUGUGCAAGGCUGUUAGGGUGCAACAACCUUACAACCACAGGAGCUGCACAAAGUCGUUCCUUCAAAGACAAAUAAAGCUCAUUGAACUACGCGGUCGUCUGGUAAAUCGUGUCGAGUUAUUUAGAGAAACGCACGCCAGUAGUAUUGGCGAGUUCGUUUCACCAGUAGCAGAGGAUGCUUUUGUAAGUUUAGAAAACUUUUUGUUUUCUUAUACUUUCAAUUAUGUUUUUAAGUCUGAUCAUUUUUCAAACUUACAAGUUUCUAUUAUGCAGAAUCAAAUGGUGGAGCUUCAGUCUCAACUCGUCCCAAAGAGUUCUCAACCACUAUCUAAGGACGAAAUAUGCGAGAUCAUUUUGGGUACACGAUCGGGCUACUCAAAAGGUCUUGGUUGGGGUCGAAAACCCAAGUCUAGGAUGAGUUCCGCUUCAUCUUCUUCCUCCAAUAUGUAUGAUCACCCAUGCACAUAUGACGGAGGUUAGCGAACUAAAGGUGAGCCUUGAAAAUGCUAACCGCAAGAUUAAAGAACAACGCCUAAGGGAGGAGGAGCGAGAUCGAAAAAUGGCGGACCAUGCGCAACAAAUGAAGGAGAUGAAAAAGAUGAUCGAGGAGAUGAGUCGGACAUAAAAAUGGUCAUGAUCACUUGGGGUACGUACUUUUCAAUAUUUAGUUUGUUUAAUUUUUUAUGUGUGAUAUUCUAACUCUAAUUUUAUGUCAUUUGUAGGUUUGGCUUUCGUAACUAGAGCAUAGUACAUAGCUUUCAUUUUUUUUUUAUGUUAAUGUAAUUGUUUUUGUAUUGAACAUCUUUUAUGUACAUUUUUUGUAAUUAAUUGAAAUAUUUUACUUUUCAUAAUUUACUGCAAAUUUUGUUAAUGUUGCGAAGUGGAACGAAAACCAAUAAUUACAAAAGAAAAAAGGAAAACGAAAAAAAGAAAAAAACUAAUAAAUUAACUAACAAAAAAAUAUUGAAAGCCUUCCCCGACCCACCUUGCACGUCCGGAAAAACCCGUCUCCAACAUGUAUCAAAAACGUUGGGGAAGGCUUUCCCUGACGUGCUAACAACACGUUGGGGAUAUAUUUUUGCCAAUGUGUCGUUGUGCGCUAGUGAAGGUUUCUCCAUUGUCGACGUGAUGUGCAUAGGGAAAGUAUCCCUGGCGUGCUUAUGUGCUUUCCCUUAUGUACCUUUCAACGUCAACUUCCUUGACAUUUUUCGUGUAUUUGUCGACGUAGAGCUGCAUCGGGAAAGGUUCUAUUUCUUGUAGUGUUAGGCAUUCAAACGUUCAGACAUAAACGAUUGGAGCUUCCAGUUUCUUCCCCUUCAAACCCUUUAAAGUUUUCAUACAUUUGGCGCAAAUCAAUGAAUUUUCUUCUUGUCGGCUCAUCUAACUGAAGACCCAUGUGUCGAACAACCCACUGUAAAUCCCAAGAAGAACCACGACUGAAAAAAAUACCCACGACAAAAUUCAUCGUGAAACUCAUCGAAAACGUCGCUUGACCCUUUUUAUCCUUUUGCCCAUGGCUAAACUCGUGAAAGGCAAAUAAAUUCAACUCCAUCAAACACCGUUAAACGCUGCUCGAAAAAGCUCGUCAUCGCUAACGUCGAAACUCCAACGUCUUCUUCUCGAUUGGCCACAAUUUUUUCCUAUUUUGUUUGCAAGAAAAAUUUUCUCUCUGCCACUAUGUUUGUCACUUGCAUCGGUUGCCCCCCUCUCAACCUUCUUUUCUUUCUCAAAUAAAACCUAAAAGAAGAUGAUUCAACUAAUUGCAAAAUAACAUUGAGGUAUAAUUACAAUUGUAAAAUUUAAAUUCAAAUUAUUGUUAUUAAAAAUAUAUAUUAUAUAUUGUUUAAUAAAUUAUGUAAAGUAUAAAAAAGCUGAAAAGUCUUGUAUUUAUAUUUGGCAUUAUUUUAGAGGAGAAUCUAAAAUUUAAAUUCAAAUUGUUAUUAAAAAUAUAUAUUAUGUAUUAUUUAAUAAAUUGUUUAAAAUAUAACAAAAUUGAAAAACUUGUAUAUAUAUUUGUAUUAUUAUAUAGGAGGUUGCUACAAUCUUGUCUAGCAAUAAAAUAACAGAUUUAGUUAUAAUUUACUAAAUUUGAAUGGUGUUCGCACCAUACAUUGUCUUCGUGCUAUUUUCAGUAUGCUGCCUCAUUUUUUGAACUACUCAAAUAGACUGUAUUUGGAAUAUAUGAAUUAUCGUAUACCAGGGAAUGAUACUAUAUCUUGAUGACCAUUUUUUUUACCUUUUUGUGUGUGUCUCAAAUCUAUUGUUUAUAACAUCUUUCAUACUCGACAUAUACUAUGUUUAAGAAAUCUUAAUUCUGUUGGUUAUUAUAAAGUUUGGUUAGUUAAACAAGUGUGAUUAUGAUUCAAUGACACUAUUUAAGAAAUCGUUCUUAUUGUUGGUUUUGUGACAAAUUCAUCUUAAUGUUAAGUUUUUUGGAUGGAAAAAGUAUAUGAUUAUAUGAGCAAAUAAAUAUUAAUAUUUGAAUAUUUGAUCAAGAUAUAGAAAACAAAUAGCUUAUCAGAUUAUUUAAAAACAUAAAUUACAAUAUAAUUGUAUCAGCAACAUAUAAUUGUAUCAGCAACAUAUGUUAUACAUUGUAUCUAAUAUUGUAAAAUUAUUAUGUAGUAUUGUCAUGUAGUAUAUACAAAUACAUUGCAACUCCAUAGAAAAUCAACGUAAUCAAACCUGACUAAUUUAACCAAUAAAUCGAUUUUGUUAAAUUAAAAAAAGAAUAAACAAAUGAAACAAAUUGAAUAUAUUCAAACUUAUACUUUCCUUAUAUUUUUCAAAUGAAUAUUUUCAAGUAGGUUAAUGAAAUAUAUUUAUUUACUAAUCAUAAAAAUAUGUUUAAAUGGCUCAAUAAAAUAUUUUGGAUUAAAUCUAAUUUAUUAAUUUCUUUUGUUAAUAAAUAAUAAAUUUGGAGAUUAUCGAAACAAAUUAAAACUAAUAAAAUAUUUUUCUAUAUGAGACUAAAUGGUUGUUACGAAAAAAAUACUACUAAUAAAAUUCCAAUUUCAAAUUUCAAAUUGACACAUUUAUCUCAAGUUUGUAAUAAAAAGUUAAUUAAUUUUUUAGAAAACUAAUUAAUGUUUACGUUUGGAAUGAAAUGUAUACAUCAACGACACGAUAAUCAAUAUAUCGAAAAGAAUAUAAUUUAACGUACUAUGUAUAUAUGCUUGAAAUGGAACGUAUACAUCAACAUAAUAUAAUAAUGUACUACGUAUAUACAUUUAAAUAUAUAAUUUAUAUUUAUUUUUUUAUACAAUUGGCACAUUGAUAUAAUUUUUUAAAAUAAAAAUAAACAAAAAUAAAUGGUUAAUCAUAAUGAGGAGAGAUGAUAUAAAAUUUAAAUUCAAAUAGUUAUAAAAAUAUAUAUGGUAUAUUUAAUAAGUUUUGUAUAAAUAGUUUGAAAUAUAAAAAUCUAAAAAUGUUAGAAUUUAUGUUUGCCUAAAAUUUGAAUUCAAAAUUUUAUUUAACAUAUAUAUUAUGAAUUAACCAAAAUAAAUUAUUAAUUAAUGGUUUAAAAUAGGGCUGUAUAUCUUAUUAUUUCCAACUUUUGUUAAUUUUUCAGUUUGCUGUAUAAAAAUUUGCUAUUUGUCCAGUUAUUUAAUUUCAAACUUGGACCAUGAAAUCCCAAGUUCAGAAAAUGCUAAUCAAUUAUGUAUGCGGUUCUUACUACUUUAAAAGCAUAAAAAUUUUGAUUAAUUAAAUUUUACUAUUUUUUAUCACUAUUAAAAUUCAUUUUAUAAUUUUACUUUUUUUUAAUUAUUUAAAUUCGUUAAUAGAAACAAAUGUCAUAGUUAAAAUUGCGCAAAUAAGCUUAGGGUGUGUUCA
rnacentral:lncRNA from 1 species